CAUGCAGUCGAACGGUGAAGCCAAGCUUGCUUGGUGGAUCAGUGGCGAACGGGUGAGUAACACGUGAGCAACCUGCCCUGGACUCUGGGAUAAGCGCUGGAAACGGCGUCUAAUACUGGAUAUGAGCUCUCAUCGCAUGGUGGGGGUUGGAAAGAUUUUUCGGUCUGGGAUGGGCUCGCGGCCUAUCAGCUUGUUGGUGAGGUAAUGGCUCACCAAGGCGUCGACGGGUAGCCGGCCUGAGAGGGUGACCGGCCACACUGGGACUGAGACACGGCCCAGACUCCUACGGGAGGCAGCAGUGGGGAAUAUUGCACAAUGGGCGGAAGCCUGAUGCAGCAACGCCGCGUGAGGGAUGACGGCCUUCGGGUUGUAAACCUCUUUUAGCAGGGAAGAAGCGAGAGUGACGGUACCUGCAGAAAAAGCGCCGGCUAACUACGUGCCAGCAGCCGCGGUAAUACGUAGGGCGCAAGCGUUAUCCGGAAUUAUUGGGCGUAAAGAGCUCGUAGGCGGUUUGUCGCGUCUGCUGUGAAAUCCCGAGGCUCAACCUCGGGCCUGCAGUGGGUACGGGCAGACUAGAGUGCGGUAGGGGAGAUUGGAAUUCCUGGUGUAGCGGUGGAAUGCGCAGAUAUCAGGAGGAACACCGAUGGCGAAGGCAGAUCUCUGGGCCGUAACUGACGCUGAGGAGCGAAAGGGUGGGGAGCAAACAGGCUUAGAUACCCUGGUAGUCCACCCCGUAAACGUUGGGAACUAGUUGUGGGGACCAUUCCACGGUUUCCGUGACGCAGCUAACGCAUUAAGUUCCCCGCCUGGGGAGUACGGCCGCAAGGCUAAAACUCAAAGGAAUUGACGGGGACCCGCACAAGCGGCGGAGCAUGCGGAUUAAUUCGAUGCAACGCGAAGAACCUUACCAAGGCUUGACAUACACCAGAACACCGUAGAAAUACGGGACUCUUUGGACACUGGUGAACAGGUGGUGCAUGGUUGUCGUCAGCUCGUGUCGUGAGAUGUUGGGUUAAGUCCCGCAACGAGCGCAACCCUCGUUCUAUGUUGCCAGCACGUAAUGGUGGGAACUCAUGGGAUACUGCCGGGGUCAACUCGGAGGAAGGUGGGGAUGACGUCAAAUCAUCAUGCCCCUUAUGUCUUGGGCUUCACGCAUGCUACAAUGGCCGGUACAAAGGGCUGCAAUACCGUGAGGUGGAGCGAAUCCCAAAAAGCCGGUCCCAGUUCGGAUUGAGGUCUGCAACUCGACCUCAUGAAGUCGGAGUCGCUAGUAAUCGCAGAUCAGCAACGCUGCGGUGAAUACGUUCCCGGGUCUUGUACACACCGCCCGUCAAGUCAUGAAAGUCGGUAACACCUGAAGCCGGUGGCCCAACCCUUGUGGAGGGAGCCGUCGAA
rnacentral:rRNA from 2 species